rnacentral:rRNA from 1 species
GUUGAACGCUGGCGGCAUGCUUUACACAUGCAAGUCGAACGGCAGCGCGGGCUUCGGCCUGGCGGCGAGUGGCGAACGGGUGAGUAAUACAUCGGAACGUGCCCAGUAGUGGGGGAUAGCUCGGCGAAAGCCGGAUUAAUACCGCAUACGACCUGAGGGUGAAAGCGGGGGAUCUUCGGACCUCGCGCUAUUGGAGCGGCCGAUGGCAGAUUAGCUAGUUGGUGGGGUAAAGGCCUACCAAGGCGACGAUCUGUAGCUGGUCUGAGAGGACGACCAGCCACACUGGGACUGAGACACGGCCCAGACUCCUACGGGAGGCAGCAGUGGGGAAUUUUGGACAAUGGGCGAAAGCCUGAUCCAGCAAUGCCGCGUGUGUGAUGAAGGCCUUCGGGUUGUAAAGCACUUUUGGCGGGAACGAAAAGGACUGUGCCAAUACCACGGUUCGAUGACGGUACCCGCAGAAUAAGCACCGGCUAACUACGUG